rnacentral:rRNA from 1 species
UACGUAGGGCGCAAGCGUUGUCCGGAAUUAUUGGGCGUAAAGAGCUCGUAGGCGGUCUGUCGCGUCUGCUGUGAAAACCCGAGGCUCAACCUCGGGCCUGCAGUGGGUACGGGCAGACUAGAGUGCGGUAGGGGAGACUGGAAUUCCUGGUGUAGCGGUGAAAUGCGCAGAUAUCAGGAGGAACACCGGUGGCGAAGGCGGGUCUCUGGGCCGUAACUGACGCUGAGGAGCGAAAGCAUGGGGAGCGAACAGG